rnacentral:lncRNA from 1 species
AUCACACGAACAUAAUAUUCAUCACUGCCAAAAAUAUUAUGUGUUCCUUGUACCAAGGCCAUGACAAUGAAAAUGGAAGAAGCAAAACAUAGUAUAAGGUAAACACUCACCACAAAUUUCAUUGUUUUUUUAGUGAUGUGUUAUGAUAUGAUAUGUUUCUGACUUGCCACUAAGGCUUUCUAUAUAUGGCUACCAAUAUUUCAUACAUUAAUUAUUUUAUGCAUAGAACAUAUUAACUAGCUCAACUUGACUUAUCAUUGCUGUUUAAUUUAAUAGUACUAUGAUAAUGGUUGCAUUGUUGCGCCGAUUUAGUGCUUGGACAAAUCCUUUUCAUCUUUUCUUUUAUUGAUACGUGAUCUCAAUCUUAUCAUGUUGUAUGAUAUUUGUCUCUAUUGUCUUUUUCUUAUGCUUAUAUAAAGUAUCAAUUGUCGUUUAAUAUUGACUAAUCUGCUUUAAAAAAUGUAUUGGGUUCACAAUCGAAUUUUUACACAGAUAAGGUUCGGAGAGCGAACAUUUAACCACUUGAUUGAAAUGCAAUAGUUUCUUACCACUCAGACCAAUCACAUGUUGACACCUUUGUCGCGGCUUUAUGUUUGUGGUGUGGAUAUCUUAUUUUAAAGCAUAUCCAUGGGACUGUAUGUCUGUUUAUCUGCUAAGAUAUUGCUUUCAAGAUUCUAUACUUUUUCUUCUUUUGUUUGAUGAAAAAAUAUAUUCUAUAUAAAUAUAACAAUUUGGUAAUAUUUUAUAAGAUACAUAAUUUUUAUGUAUUAAUUUAAGAGAUAAAUAAUUAUAUCGUACUUGAUUGUUAGCCAGGUUCCACCACUUAGGACUUGUUGUUAGGUACAAAAAAUACGUGGAGAAAAAGAGUGGAAAGAAAAGGAGAAGAAAAACAAAGACUAUCUCUCAUUUGUACGGAAGAGAAACAGACAAAAGAAAGCAAGAAGUAUUGGUGGGGUUUACAUAUUAUUUUUUCUUCAAAUUGGGAAUAAAGAUAAGAUAAAGUUAUAAUGCAUUUCUAUUCUCAUCCUUAAUAAGUACAACAUGUCUUUCUAUUCUCAUCUCUUUUAGAGUAUUUUUGUCCCAUUUAAAAUAAUAUAUAUGUUUUUUUUUAA